CCCAGGUGAGCUUUCCAAGAGGAGAUGACAUGAUGUACUUUAGGCAGGGCGCUGCAAGGAGUGAUUAUACACAGCCAGAGACCACUCACCAGGCCUCCACAGGCCUCAUGAAGUUCUUACUGGUGACCUCAGGUUCAAUGGCCUAAGGUUAGCAGGCAGAAUGCAAAACUGUUACUGAAUUUUCCCAAGUUUGAACGCAGAGAAAAGCAGAAAAGUUUGAGCACCAAUUAUCAGUGCCUAUGAUAGAAAUAUUGCAAAUAUGAGUUGUGCCUGGAAGUCACUGAAGAAUUCAUGAGAAAGGCUCAUAAAAUCUGAUUCUACAAAGGCUCGGCCCCAAGUUACAGUCAACAGGCUAGGAGACCUCACCAGGGACUGCAAAUGAGGAGGAAGACCUUUUAUGACUGAAUUGUAGAAAAACAUUGUGAUUCUCAAGGUCAGACCCUCUCAUCUCAGACAUUCAGUCUGCAGCCACAGGUGAAGGACCCAGUUUACAGGAAUAACCACUUGAGCUGGGCAGUAACUUCUGCUGAGCAAACCUUACAGUAGGAUUUAGUUCCAGGUAAAGAUUUUGUUCCAUGACAAAGAUAAGCCAAAGCAAAGAAGGAGGGAAGCUAAGCAGUUUUUGUACUGGUGAGUUUGCUUCAGUGAAAGCCUUUUACCAGUAUUGGUAAUAUCUUCUGAGAGAUAGAAAGAGAAGGAA